ACUGGCUGGUCGCUGCUCGCCCAAUUCCCACUGCUCACACAGCUUCCUUGUGGAUCCAUUCAUCCCCAUGCAUCUCCGUAGUUGGAAUUGCAUCAUAGCCGGUAGUCGCUGCUACAUCCUAGCACUUAUUGUGCCCUCUGCUAUGCGAACCUACUGAGACUUAGCUAACAACGAGACGGGGAACUGCUGCUGUGUGACCGCUGCUGCUUUGUCUUCACGAAGCGUGAUCGCUCAUCUGUGUUUGUAACCGUGUGACCGCUAACGUUUGUCUCGACCUUGUCAUAUUACGUGUCAUCCUUGUCAAUUCUGUGUGUACAUGGUUUUGGUUUAUUGCUCUACUGUUUUGAUUUGCUUUACCACUGGCAGGAGGCCAUUUCCCCUGCGCUGCUGAUAACCAGUGUCCCAACAUCUCUUACUUUGUAAUGUAUCUCUGGUUUUCUAGCUUUCUUCUUAUGAUUUGAUUAGCCACUGAUAGGAGGCUGCUAUUCCAUCUGUGCUGUGGAUUACCAGUGUGCUAGUAUUUAUUAUU